GUAUCUCCUGCUGUCGGGUUCCCAAAGCGCUCCGUUUUCAGGAGUUGGGGUACAAUAACAACACCUCAUCCAUGCUAAGGCAUUACCGUGCCUUGCAUGAGAAUAAGGAGGAAACUGGAGCUUCACCCAGCCAUGCCACCAGAAAACAAGAGCUGGAUGAAGCCCUCGUCUCCAUGAUAGUGAAGGACACACAGCCUUUCACUGUUGUGGAUGAUGUUGGAUUCAGGGCAUUUGU